AUAGUAGAAUGCAGCCAAGAAUGAUUUGCCGGCGCCGGCCAGCACUUGUUGCAAAGCAACUAAGCAAGGGCUUCAAAUGUUUUUGGCACCCCGGCAAGUUGUUCUUGGCUACAUUUGGAUAUCU
rnacentral:pre_miRNA from 13 species